rnacentral:rRNA from 1 species
CCUACGGGAGGCAGCAGUGGGGAAUAUUGGACAAUGGGCGAAAGCCUGAUCCAGCCAUGCCGCGUGUGUGAAGAAGGCCUUCGGGUUGUAAAGCACUUUCAGUGGGGAAGAAAGCCUUGGGGCUAAUACCCUCGAGGAAGGACAUCACCCACAGAAGAAGCACCGGCUAACUCCGUGCCAGCAGCCGCGGUAAUACGGAGGGUGCGAGCGUUAAUCGGAAUUACUGGGCGUAAAGCGCGCGUAGGCGGUCUGAUAAGCCGGUUGUGAAAGCCCCGGGCUCAACCUGGGAACGGCAUCCGGAACUGUCAGGCUAGAGUGCAGGAGAGGAAGGUAGAAUUCCCGGUGUAGCGGUGAAAUGCGUAGAUAUCGGGAGGAAUACCAGUGGCGAAGGCGGCCUUCUGGACUGACACUGACGCUGAGGUGCGAAAGCGUGGGUAGCAAACAGGAUUAGAUACCCUUGUAGUC